GCCGUCCUGAACUUCUUGGCUGAAUUGUUUUCUCAGGGUAAGUCGUAUAGGACUAUUACGUCUUCCGAUCGGCUAUCUCGGUGGCUCAUGUGCCUUCUCAAGGUUUUGGUGUUGGUAAGGACACCUCGGUCUGCAGACUGCUCGAGACCCCCUGCUUCUUGCUAUUCCUCAUUUUGGGAUGUCUCGCUGGUAUUGCGCUUUCUUGAGGAAUGGCCUGAUAACGAG